UUUUGAGAGAAAUAGAUAGCGCGCUACGCGCUUCGUUUAUUUCAUUUAGAAAUAAACUUAGCUAGAAAUAUGAAUCAACUAGUUUUCGAACUUGGGUCUUGGGUACCAACCACCAAGCCUUUUGCCACUUGCUCUAGGAACAAGAAUGGUUUUAAUCUAUACGCAUCCCAAACCAGAACCCAAACCAAUUUUAUAUUAUAUAAUAUAUGAAAAAAUCUAAGGCUUUAGCUCUGAAUAUAAGUAUUGAAUAUAGGAGAAUAGAGGUUCAAGAAUGAUUUUAAUCUAUACGCAUCCCAAACCCGAACCCAAACCAAUUUUAUGUUAUAUAAUAUAUGAAAAAAUCUAAUAAUUUACGGUUGUGUCUUAAUUAUUAUUUUAUAGUUAUUUUUUACUUUGAAAUUUUUAAUUUGAGUAUGAUAUAUUUUGAAAUUUGGUAGUGAGAAAUGAUUACUUUUGUGUUUGGAUUUUCGGUUUCGGUUUUAGGUUUUUUGUUGGAUUCGGUUUUGGUUAUUAAAUUUUUCAAAUC
rnacentral:lncRNA from 1 species